rnacentral:tRNA from 1 species
ACACAGAUAGCUCAGUUGGUAGAGCAUGAGACUCUUAAUCUCAGGGGCAAGGGUUCGAGCCCCAUGUUGGGUG